GACGAACGCUGGCGGCGUGCUUAAUACAUGCAAGUCGAACGGACAGGCCCUGCUUUUGUGGGUUGCUCGUUUGGCGAACGGGUGAGUAACACGUGUGUAACCUGCCCUUGACUUUGGGGUAUCUCCAGGAAACUGGGGCUAAUACCGGAUAGGAGAUCCUGCUGCAUGGUGGUGGUUGGUAAGUUUCGGUGGUUGGGGAUGGACUCGCGGCUUAUCCGCUUCUUUGUGGGGUAGGGGCUUACCAGGGCUUUGACGGGUAGCCGGCCUGAGAGGGUUACCGGGCACAUUGGGACUGAGAGACGGACCAGACUCCUACGUGAGGCAGCAGUGGGGAAUAUUGCACAAUGGCCGGAAGCCUGAUGCAGCAACGCCGGGUGCGGGAUGACGGCCUUCGGGUUGUAAACCGCUUUCGCCUGUGACGAAGCGGGAGUGACGGUAAUGGGUAAAGAAGCACCGGCUAACUACGUG
rnacentral:rRNA from 1 species